AAAGCUCGGAUUUUUAUUCGCAGCAAACAGCAGCAUUACAGAUGCAGCCCGAAUAUAAAAAAUAUGACGACGCCACAGUGGCCCUAGUUUCGUACAGCACAUGGCGGAAUCUGUCACGGCGAGGCAAUUUUGUGAGACAACGAGAGUCUCUCGGGUGUGCGUGUGAUCAAGUUUUUGUGAGGAACCUGCAUGAUCUUGCGCAUGAAGUAAAUAUUUUUGGACAGUUUCUUCUCUGGACGGCGUUACAAGUACAGGCAAGCGGGCAUCAACGGUUGUUAUUGCUGUACUUUGUGGUGUUGUGAUUCACCAGUGCGGAUCGAAGAGCACCGUUUUCUCCAGCCCGGAUUCUACAAUUUGGAGAUGGUGUACAAGGCGAUGUGCAAGUGCAUUUCACACCUUGGGGAGCUGCAAGAUAUGCUUUCACAAUCCUUGCUGCAAGUGUUCAAAUAAAGGGUUUCAAGUUUCA
rnacentral:lncRNA from 1 species